GUUAAAAAGCUCGUAGUUGGAUUUCUGCGUGAGCGGGGCGGCCGGCCACAAUAGUGGCUCGUGCUAGCUAUGUUCGCGCAUCCGGUCGGAAGCCGUACUACCAUUCAUUUGGUGGUGCCGGUGAACGGCCCGUUUACUUUGAGAAAAAUAGAGUGUUCAAAGCAGGCCAUUUGCCUUGAAUAAUUUAGCAUGGAAUAAUAAUAAAGGACUACGGUUCUAUUUUGUUGGUGUUCGGGACCGAAGUAAUGAUUGAUAGGGACAGUUGGGGGCGUCAGUAUUCCAAAGCGAGAGGUGAAAUUCUUAGACCUUCGGAAGACUAACCGCUGCGAAAGCGUUCGCCAAGGAUGUUCCCUUUGAUCAAGAACGAAAGUUGGGGGAUCGAAGACGAUCAGAUACCGUCGUAGUCUCAACUAUAAACUAUACCAGCUAGGGAUCGGCCAAUGUUGGUUACAUAGACUUGGUCGGCACCUUAUGAGAA
rnacentral:rRNA from 1 species